GACACGAGGGAGAAGCUGCCCCUGUUUGCGAAGCUGGUGCAGUCCGUGUGCCAUGACCGCGCGGCCCAGGUGAGGAGGGCAGUGCUGCAUUUCAUUGGGGAGCUGCUGCGCUCCAGUGCCCCAGGCUGCUCGGCGUGGGACGUGGUGGGGCACCUCUUCAGCGAGUUCAGCCGGGCCUCGGGCAGACUGGCAAUGGGAAACCUUAGCAUGGUG